rnacentral:rRNA from 1 species
GGCGCAGCUGAUCAGCAUGCGCGUGUGUGAAGAAGGCUUAUGGUUGUAAAGCACUUUAAGGCGAGGAGGAGGCUACUUUAGUUAAUACCUAGAGAUAGUGGACGUUACUCGCAGAAUAAGCACCGGCUAACUCUGUGCCAGCAGCCGCGGUAAUACAGAGGGUGCAAGCGUUAAUCGGAUUUACUGGGCGUAAAGCGNNCGCGUAGGGCGGC